CCGGGCGCAGGCGCGGUGGCGGCCGCCGGUAUCCCAUCAGUCUCCGCGGGCGGCGGGACGCGGUGCUGGGGUGGCAGGUCGAGCAUGUCGGAGAAGAAGCAGCCGGUGGACCUGGGGCUCCUGGAGGAGGAUGACGAGUUUGAGGAGUUCCCGGCCGAAGAUUGGACUGGUUUAGAUGAAGAUGAAGAUGCACAUGUCUGGGAAGACAAUUGGGAUGAUGACAAUGUAGAAGAUGACUUCUCCAAUCAGUUAAGAGCUGAAUUAGAAAAACAUGGAUACAAGAUGGAAACCUCAUAGUUUUUGCUGAAUAUGGAGUGGUUUAACAUUGAACUGUGGAUAGACUAUAUUGAGAAAAGAAGAAAAGGUGGAAAAUGAGAAGACACACUUAGUUCAUUAUCUGCUUGGAUUUAUUAUUGUUUUGUAUAAAAAAUAAAAGUUUUUAAUCUUAGCCUAGUCAUACCUUCAGCCUCCACUAACCUAGUAACUUGUAUUUCAGUUCUGAAAUGCCGUGUGAGACAGAAUUCGUGGACUUGCCUAGAAUGCUACUCGUGAUCUGUCAGUGGCUGAUGGUAUUGCACCAGCUCCCAUCAUGGCGAGUGGAAAAAGCAUUAGCAGAAUGAAGAUUAGUGAAUGUUUCUGUCAUAGGGGAUGUGGAGAUGUCAAAAUGAAAUAAAAUACUCAUGUAUUCCAAUUAAAAUGCAGCAGAGGUAGAAAGGAGCUUAUUUUGCCUCAAGAUUUUUUACUUCAUAAUGGCUUGUUUUAUUUUUGUUAGUAAUUUCAUGUGGGUGCCAGUUUGAUAGGCUCGAAAGAUAAAACCCACUUUAAAACGGCAGAAAUCCAAACUCUCCAAUCUUGUCCGUCAUUUCUCAGUGUUAACGGGGAGACCUUUCCGGAGGUGAAAAGUUCUGUUCUCGUGCUUAUUUAAGCCUAGGAAUCUCUGCUGAAAUUGCUUCCAAUUUGCCAGUUACAGCAGUUCAUCUGUAUCAUACAAACAUGCCUGCUGAGAACGGAAAUCAAACUUCCAACUCAUUUCAUGGAGGCUGACAAAUAGUUGCCAGAUAGAUACAGCGGUAGUGACUGGAUUCGAUUACUCUCUGAACUAGAAAACAGAAGGUGGAAAUUACAAAACCUAUUACCAAUUCCAUGAAUCCUCCCCAAAGGAGCUGUUAAAGCUGGUGUACGCAAAGACAUGGGGAGAUAGGGCGAUCCUGGAAGUGUAGGCCAUGAUUGCACAUCAAAAUUUUUUUUUAAUAAAGGGGCAAAUAUAGCUAUGUACUCUUCGUUUGAAUUAGCUGCUUGCUUUUCCAGCAGUUCGCUGUAAAGAAGCAGAGAGGUAAUUGUUAUUUAGAGUGAGCUUUCAGAAUAAAGGUAUUAGUCGAUGGACAUGCAGUAAUGGUAUUAAAUGCUUUAACUUUAAA